rnacentral:rRNA from 1 species
AGAGUUUGAUCAUGGCUCAGGACGAACGCUGGCGGCGUGCCUAAUACAUGCAAGUAGAACGCUGAAGAGAGGAGCUUGCUCUUCUUGGAUGAGUUGCGAACGGGUGAGUAACGCGUAGGUAACCUGCCUUGUAGCGGGGGAUAACUAUUGGAAACGAUAGCUAAUACCGCAUAACAAUGGAUGACCCAUGUCAUUUAUUUGAAAGGGGCAAAUGCUCCACUACAAGAUGGACCUGCGUUGUAUUAGCUAGUAGGUGAGGUAACGGCUCACCUAGGCGACGAUACAUAGCCGACCUGAGAGGGUGAUCGGCCACACUGGGACUGAGACACGGCCCAGACUCCUACGGGAGGCAGCAGUAGGGAAUCUUCGGCAAUGGGGGCAACCCUGACCGAGCAACGCCGCGUGAGUGAAGAAGGUUUUCGGAUCGUAAAGCUCUGUUGUAAGUCAAGAACGAGUGUGAGAGUGGAAAGUUCACACUGUGACGGUAGCUUACCAGAAAGGGACGGCUAACUACGUGCCAGCAGCCGCGGUAAUACGUAGGUCCCGAGCGUUGUCCGGAUUUAUUGAGCGUAAAGCGAGCGCAGGCGGUUUGAUAAGUCUGAAGUUAAAGGCUGUGGCUCAACCAUAGUUCGCUUUGGAAACUGUCAAACUUGAGUGCAGAAGGGGAGAGUGGAAUUCCAUGUGUAGCGGUGAAAUGCGUAGAUAUAUGGAGGAACACCGGUGGCGAAAGCGGCUCUCUGGUCUGUAACUGACGCUGAGGCUCGAAAGCGUGGGGAGCGAACAGGAUUAGAUACCCUGGUAGUCCACGCCGUAAACGAUGAGUGCUAGGUGUUGGAUCCUUUCCGGGAUUCAGUGCCGCAGCUAACGCAUUAAGCACUCCGCCUGGGGAGUACGACCGCAAGGUUGAAACUCAAAGGAAUUGACGGGGGCCCGCACAAGCGGUGGAGCAUGUGGUUUAAUUCGAAGCAACGCGAAGAACCUUACCAGGUCUUGACAUCCCGAUGCUAUUUCUAGAGAUAGAAAGUUACCUCGGUACAUCGGUGACAGGUGGUGCAUGGUUGUCGUCAGCUCGUGUCGUGAGAUGUUGGGUUAAGUCCCGCAACGAGCGCAACCCCUAUUGUUAGUUGCCAUCAUUCAGUUGGGCACUCUAGCGAGACUGCCGGUAAUAAACCGGAGGAAGGUGGGGAUGACGUCAAAUCAUCAUGCCCCUUAUGACCUGGGCUACACACGUGCUACAAUGGUUGGUACAACGAGUUGCGAGUCGGUGACGGCAAGCUAAUCUCUUAAAGCCAAUCUCAGUUCGGAUUGUAGGCUGCAACUCGCCUACAUGAAGUCGGAAUCGCCAGUAAUCGCGGAUCAGCACGCCGCGGUGAAUACGUUCCCGGGCCUUGUACACACCGCCCGUCACACCACGAGAGUUUGUAACACCCGAAGUCGGUGAGGUAACCUUUUGGAGCCAGCCGCCUAAGGUGGGAUAGAUGAUUGGGGUGAAGUCGUAACAAGGUA